AAGACCACCUUUGAAAAGCUUCUUCGCACAAUUCUGUUGACAUCAGCAGUAAUAAACCCACUGAUGAAGGCAGUUUAACAACAGUUGUGCAACACUGAACCAUGCAAAGGCACCAGGGCAGCUGGAUCAGUUAAGAAAAAGUCAAUGGUGGUGCAGAUGGUGAUGACAGCUCAUACAGAAAUGCUGCUAGAUUUCUAACCAUUGCCUCGAAACACUGAUUUCAGACUGCAGGGCUGUAAUGACAACAUAAAUGAAGCACAGGAAUGUCUGCCCUUCUGCUUCAGCACAGGGGGCAACACUGGUGAAAAAAAUUUGCUGGCAAGGUUGAAGAACUCAAAAUGAAACCUCUCUCCCAGCUCUGGAAUUCCCAUUGGUAGUAGCUGAUUCUGCAUAAAGAAUACAGG